rnacentral:rRNA from 1 species
AGAGUUUGAUCAUGGCUCAGAACGAACGCUGGCGGCAGGCUUAACACAUGCAAGUCGAACGCAUCCUUCGGGGUGAGUGGCAGACGGGUGAGUAACGCGUGGGAACGUGCCCUUCAGUUCGGAAUAACCCAGGGAAACUUGGGCUAAUACCGGAUACGUGCGAGAGCAGAAAGAUUUAUCGCUGAAGGAUCGGCCCGCGUCUGAUUAGCUAGUUGGUGAGGUAAUGGCUCACCAAGGCGACGAUCAGUAGCUGGUCUGAGAGGAUGAUCAGCCACAUUGGGACUGAGACACGGCCCAAACUCCUACGGGAGGCAGCAGUGGGGAAUAUUGGACAAUGGGCGCAAGCCUGAUCCAGCCAUGCCGCGUGAGUGAUGAAGGCCUUAGGGUUGUAAAGCUCUUUCGUCCGGGACGAUAAUGACGGUACCGGAAGAAGAAGCCCCGGCUAACUUCGUGCCAGCAGCCGCGGUAAUACGAAGGGGGCUAGCGUUGUUCGGAAUCACUGGGCGUAAAGGGCGCGUAGGCGGCUUGAUAAGUCGGGGGUGAAAGCCUGUGGCUCAACCACAGAAUUGCCUUCGAUACUGUCUGGCUUGAGACCGGAAGAGGUAAGUGGAACUGCGAGUGUAGAGGUGAAAUUCGUAGAUAUUCGCAAGAACACCAGUGGCGAAGGCGGCUUACUGGUCCGGUUCUGACGCUGAGGCGCGAAAGCGUGGGGAGCAAACAGGAUUAGAUACCCUAGUAGUCC